rnacentral:rRNA from 1 species
UUGAUCCUGGNCUCAGAACGAACGCUGGCGGCGUGCUUAACACAUGCAAGUCGGAUGCGAACGGCGCUUUCGGGCGUUGAGUAGCAUGGCAGACGGGUGAGGAGCGCGUAUCUGACUGGACUCAGGCUGGGGGAUAGUCCCUCGAAAGGGGGUUGAAUACCGCAUGUGCUCGGUGCUGUGAGGGCAUCGAGGAAAGUUGGCCUCUGCUGGCACGCUGAUGGCCUGAGACAGGGAUGCGUCCUAUUAGCUAGCUGGUGGAGUAAGGGCCUACCAGGGCGACGAUGGGUAGCUGGUCUGAGGGGAUGAUCAGCCACACUGGGACUGCGACACGGCCCAGACUCCUACGGGAGGCAGCAGUGGGGAAUUUUGCGCAAUGGGCGCAAGCCUGACGCAGCAACGCCGCGUGCAUGACGACGCCUUUCGAGGUGUAAAGUGCUGUCGACCGGGACGAAGGGGCGAGGGUGAACAGCUUUCGCGCAUGACGGUACCGGUGGAGGAAGCCCCGGCUAACUCCGUGCCAGCAGCCGCGGUAAGACGGAGGGGGCGAGCGUUGUUCGGAAUUACUGGGCGUAAAGCGCGCGUAGGCGGUGCAGAGAAGUUGGUGCGUGAAAGCCCU